rnacentral:rRNA from 1 species
CACGUAGGGGGCGAGCGUUGUCCGGAUUUAUUGGGCGUAAAGAGCUCGUAGGCGGUUUCGUAAGUCGGGUGUGAAAACUCUAGGCUCAACCUAGAGACGCCACCCGAUACUGCGAUGACUAGAGUCCGGUAGGGGAGUGUGGAAUUCCUGGUGUAGCGGUGAAAUGCGCAGAUAUCAGGAGGAACACCGGUGGCGAAGGCGGUUCUCUGGGCAUUACCUGACGCUGAGGAGCGAAAGUGUGGGGAGCGAACAGG